CCUACGGGAGGCAGCAGUGAGGAAUAUUGGUCAAUGGGCGAGAGCCUGAACCAGCCAAGUCGCGUGAGGGAGUACUGCCCUAUGGGUUGUAAACCUCUUUUGUCGGGGAGCAAAAGCCGGACGUGUCCGGCUGUGAGAGUACCCGAAGAAAAAGCAUCGGCUAACUCCGUGCCAGCAGCCGCGGUAAUACGGAGGAUGCGAGCGUUAUCCGGAUUUAUUGGGUUUAACGGGUGCGCAGGCGGAUUUUUAAGUCAGCGGUAAAAUCGUGGGGCUCAACCCCAUCCAGCCGUUGAAACUGGGGAUCUAGAGUGUGCGAGAGGUAUGCGGAAUGCGUGGUGUAGCGGUGAAAUGCAUAGAUAUCACGCAGAACCCCGAUUGCGAAGGCAGCAUACCGGUGCACAACUGACGCUCAGGCACGAAAGCGUGGGUAUCGAACAGGAUUAGAUACCCUAGUAGUC
rnacentral:rRNA from 1 species